ACAGCUUGGGAACCCCUACCUCAGAUAUGCCGAUUUUGACACCGACACCUGCCCCACGCCGGCUUCCUCCCCCGAACCACGUUGCGAUGCAACCGCCUCAUCCCCCUCCUCGUUCCCCACCAUCUCAAGCUUCAAUUUUCUCCACAUCACCGGUAGUUGAUCUGUGGGCAGAACUACGGGCGGCGGCCUGGAGCGGCAGUACGCGAGCUCUGACUCCAUCCCGAGCCAGCCGGCACACCCACUGAGGACGGACCGGAGCAGCCACAACCGGCGUCGCCCGCAGGGCGAGGCCCCAUCCUGCAGGGUGAGGCCUCCCGGCCAGGCCCGCAGUAGGUGCCGGUCGGUGCGCCUUGGCAGAUGCAGGGGAGGCGUAGGUCGCCGGCCCCAGCUCCCCACCCAGUCUAUGGACCGCCGCGUCGUUGCUCUCCAGGAACGCGGCCGCAGAUCCUUCUGAGCUGAGGCGCACCGCAUGGCCAAGCGGGGCGGUGACAACGCGCUAGUGAGCCAGUGCCGGCUGGACCAGAGCAUGACCGGCGCCGCGCGCGCGGUCUGGGGCCUGUAGUUCCUCGACCAGAGCAUGGUCACGCAGGGCAGCUGGCCCGAGGUGGAGAAGUGGUUCGACCAUCAUCUACAGCCUGCUCCUCCGCUCGCACUUCAGCCAGUACAUUGGGAUGGUUGGAUCACAGGAAUUCACGGCACAGAUGUUUGAUGCGCUUGUACAGCGAAGGGGGUCGUUGCUCUGGUGCUGACCAAGGAUGAGCUGAGGGAAUUCUGGGAGCAUCUAUCAGAUUCAUGUUCUUGGUUGUUUCAAUUUGUUUCAACCCAUUCAGGUUCAUGGAUUAUAUCACAGAUAACAUCAGAUUCGGUUUGAUUCAACACAAGAGCAGUUGUUUCUGUCAGGUUUUGAUCUGUCAAGUUGUUGUUCAGUCAAGAUCGAAUUUCCGUGACCAAAUGUUCAGAGACCAAAUAAUCUUAGACAUGCUCUUAAUUAUUGGAUCAUGAACUUGCAGUAAUAAACAUGAUAAACAAUACUAGGACCGCCAAGAAACUGUAUUUAGUGAUCUUGUUAAAGAAGCUACAGACACAUCAUUAUAAUGUGCAUUUCAAUCAGACUUGAGAUGCAAAUAACACAGUAGUACAACAGGAUAACUAGACAAGAAGCAUUGGAGAAAAUUACUGUCUAUCCCAGGAUUACUUAUUUGUUUUCAUCACACAUUAGAGAUUUUUGUUCUCCACUUGUGUGUACACUGAAGCUACUAGAUUUGGUACUUUUCCAUCUUUGUUCUUGAUUAUCAGGUCCAUCUUGCAAAGAUUUGGUACUUGUCCAUCUUACAAAUAGAAGAAACAGAGGAUGCUUAUCAGGUCCAUCUUGCAAAGAUGCCUUAGAUCCAGGAAAGAUGAACAAAGAUUUGGUUUCAUUGCAAGUUUUGGACAACAUUCAAGCUUAUCAGUGUCACGAAGCUUCGAGCUAGCGUGUCGACAUCAUAGUUUCGAUAUUCUUCCUCCAAGCCUUCUAUCAAUUCCCUGAUGCUUUGAGGUGCUCUGCAAUCGGUAUGCGACUGGAGAGACCUGAAGAUGCAGAGAUCAAGAAUAUUCAGGUCGGGGCUGUUUAGAGGUUGUUGGAUCAACUUGAUAUCCAGAUCAGUUUGUUCUAUGGCCUGUUGGAAAACCUCGUCACUAGGCUUAAGAUGCGGUGUAGCAUUAUCUUGCUGGAUAAAGAUGGUCCGUUCUUCAUCUUUGGUGGGCCACAGGUCCUGGAUAGCUGGAAUCAGUUUCUCACACAUAUAUAGCCUCAAUACAUCUCUUGUAACUUUCAAUGAUUUGAGUUCGAGUGUCCCUUUUUCUCUAUUUUCACUCCUUUGAGCCGGAGACUCUGUGACAAAGGGUCAAAUGCCUAUCUUUCCAUCAAACGUGACGACACCAUCUUUGCCAUAUCUUGGUUUAGCAACGGCCGCGAGAAACAUCACCUUCGCGAUGCUAUCCUUAUGAUGCAAGGUGUGCAAGAGAUCAUGUUCUUCAGGAAGCAGCAAGUAGCCAUUCACCUCAUGUGUCAGAUUAAACCAUUUCUCAUCCAUGUAGACUAUGACAUCUAAUUCCCGGAAAGGAGGCCAGGGAGUUCUCAGCCAAUUAUCAUCAGCCAUAGAAAUGCAAAAUCUCAAUCUUUGUAUCUGGUUGGCUGGCUUUAUCGUGGGCCUCUGUUUUUUAGUGUUGCACCUCAACUCACCCAACACAAACCUUACGUGUAAGGUCGUGCAACUUACACCCAAGGACCUUGAUAGACUUUGAAAUGUCCUCCGCCUAUUUAGUGGGAUUGUCGCCAUCCUCAACAGGUCCAGAUCUUUCGGCUUACGGCCAACAUUACCUUUCUUUUGGUUCGAGACAUCAACUUUCACCCCUCGUGCAAUUUGGUGAUUUGCUCUUCUCCAUAUUCUACGAACAGUGCUUAGGCUUGUCUUCAGUAGGUCGGCAAUGAGCUUCUUGUCUGUUUUCACCACUUGUCCAUCUUUGUUCCUGAUUACUUUGAGAGCAAAAUAAACACCAAAUCUCUCCUUAUUUGUCAGUUCUCUGCUUUUUGGAUGCUCAACAUCUUCAAGUUGUACUUCUCCUUCUUCUUCUUCUUCAUUGGCUUCAAGUUGUACUUCUUCUUCUUGAGGAAUCAAAUUCAGAUCUGGAAGCCAAUUUAAAUCUGGUUCUUCUUGUUCUUCUGGUUCUUCAAGUUCCCAAUCAUCAUCUUGUCGAGGACUCAUGUUGAGAUCAACACCAAACAUCAUCGCAGUGGUGGCGAUGACACAACUUGAGCUCACUGUGA